rnacentral:rRNA from 1 species
UACGUAGGGUGCAAGCGCUAAUCGGAAUUACUGGGCGUAAAGCGUGCGCAGGCGGUUAUGCAAGACAGAUGUGAAAUCCCCGGGCUUAACCUGGGAACCGCAUUUGUGACUGCAUAGCUGGAGUACGGCAGAGGGGGAUGGAAUUCCGCGUGUAGCAGUGAAAUGCGUAGAUAUGCGGAGGAACACCGAUGGCGAAGGCAGUCCCCUGGGCCUGUACUGACGCUCAUGCACGAAAGCGUGGGGAGCAAACAGG